rnacentral:rRNA from 1 species
UACAGGGGGCUCGAGCGUUAGUCGGAAUCACUGGGCUUAAAGGGUGCGUAGGCGGCCUGUCAAGUGUUUUGUGAAAUCCCAUGGCUCAACCAUGGAAUUGCAGGGCAAACUGAUGGGCUUGAGGCAGGUAGGGGCCGGAAGAACAGUUGGUGGAGCGGUGAAAUGCGUAGAUAUCAACUGGAAUGCCGAUGGGGAAGCCGUCCGGCUGGGCCUGUCCUGACGCUGAGGCACGAAAGCGUGGGGAGCAAACAGG